GCCAGAUGUGGUGGUGUGCGCCUGUAGUCCCAGCUACUCAGGAGGCUGGGGCAGGAGGAUCGUUUGAGCCCAGGAGUUCUGGGCUGCAGUGAGCUAUGCCGAUCGGUUUUGACCUCCCGGGAGCAGGGGACCACCAGGUUGUCUAAGGAGGGGUGAACUGGCCCAGAUCGGAAACAGAGCAGGUCAAAAGUCCCGUGCUGAUCAGUAGUGGGAUCGUGCCUAAGAACAGCCACUGCACUCUAGCCUCGGCCACAUAGUGAGACCCUGUCUCA
rnacentral:SRP_RNA from 1 species